rnacentral:rRNA from 1 species
CUGGGGGAUUAGUGGCGAACGGGUGAGUAACACGUGAGUAACCUGCCCUUGACUCUGGGAUAAGCCUGGGAAACUGGGUCUAAUACCGGAUACGACCAUCUGGCGCAUGUCAUGGUGGUGGAAAGCUUUUGUGGUUUUGGAUGGACUCGCGGCCUAUCAGCUUGUUGGUGGGGUAAUGGCCUACCAAGGCGACGACGGGUAGCCGGCCUGAGAGGGUGACCGGCCACACUGGGACUGAGACACGGCCCAGACUCCUACGGGAGGCAGCAGUGGGGAAUAUUGCACAAUGGGCGCAAGCCUGAUGCAGCGACGCCGCGUGAGGGAUGACGGCCUUCGGGUUGUAAACCUCUUUCAGUAGGGAAGAAGCGAAAGUGACGGUACCUGCAGAAGAAGCGCCGGCUAACUACGUGCCAGCAGCCGCGGUAAUACGUAGGGCGCAAGCGUUAUCCGGAAUUAUUGGGCGUAAAGAGCUCGUAGGCGGUUUGUCGCGUCUGCUGUGAAAGACCGGGGCUCAACUCCGGUUCUGCAGUGGGUACGGGCAGACUAGAGUGCAGUAGGGGAGACUGGAAUUCCUGGUGUAGCGGUGAAAUGCGCAGAUAUCAGGAGGAACACCGAUGGCGAAGGCAGGUCUCUGGGCUGUAACUGACGCUGAGGAGCGAAAGCAUGGGGAGCGAACAGGAUUAGAUACCCUGGUAGUCCAUGCCGUAAACGUUGGGCACUAGGUGUGGGGGACAUUCCACGUUUUCCGCGCCGUAGCUAACGCAUUAAGUGCCCCGCCUGGGGAGUACGGCCGCAAGGCUAAAACUCAAAGGAAUUGACGGGGGCCCGCACAAGCGGCGGAGCAUGCGGAUUAAUUCGAUGCAACGCGAAGAACCUUACCAAGGCUUGACAUGAACCGGAAAGACCUGGAAACAGGUGCCCCGCUUGCGGUCGGUUUACAGGUGGUGCAUGGUUGUCGUCAGCUCGUGUCGUGAGAUGUUGGGUUAAGUCCCGCAACGAGCGCAACCCUCGUUCUAUGUUGCCAGCGCGUUAUGGCGGGGACUCAUAGGAGACUGCCGGGGUCAACUCGGAGGAAGGUGGGGACGACGUCAAAUCAUCAUGCCCCUUAUGUCUUGGGCUUCACGCAUGCUACAAUGGCCGGUACAAAGGGUUGCGAUACUGUGAGGUGGAGCUAAUCCCAAAAAGCCGGUCUCAGUUCGGAUUGGGGUCUGCAACUCGACCCCAUGAAGUCGGAGUCGCUAGUAAUCGCAGAUCAGCAACGCUGCGGUGAAUACGUUCCCGGGCCUUGUACACACCGCCCGUCAAGUCACGAAAGUUGGUAA